UGAGUACGAGACGCUAAGGCAACGAAGUAGUGGAUGUCAUACUUCCAAGAAAAGCUUGCACUGUCAUAAAUAAAGAACGCCUGUACCAUAACCGACACAGGUGGGUAGGUAGAGUAUACUAAGGGGCGCGAGAUAACUCUCUCUAAGGAACUCGGCAAAAUAACUCCGUAACUUCGGGAGAAGGAGUGCCUUAUUCGUAAGGCUGCAAUAACAAGAUCCAAGCAACUGUUUAUCAAAAACACAGGUCUCCGCUAAGUCGUAAGACGAUGUAUGGGGGCUGACGCCUGCCCAGUGCCAGAAGGUUAAAGAAGUCGGUUAGCAUUAGCGAAGCUGGUAACUGAAGCCCUGGUGAACGGCGGCCGUAACGAUAACGGUCCUAAGGUAGCGAAAUUCCUUGUCGGGUAAGUUCCGACCCGCACGAAAGGCGUAAUGAUUUGGAUACUGUCUCGGAGAGGGGCUCGGUGAAAUAGACUUGUCUGUGAAGAUGCGGACUACCUGCACCAGGACAGAAAGACCCUAUGAAGCUUUACUGUAACUUGAAAUUGAAAUUGGACUUUAUUCGCGCAGUAUAGAUGGGAGGUGUUGAUUAUAAUCUUGCGGGAUUAUUGGAGCCAUCAGUGAGAUACCACUCUUGUAAUGUUAGAUUUCUAACUUUGAAUCAUUAUCUGGUCAAAGAACAGUUUCAGGCGGGCAGUUUGACUGGGGCGGUCGCCUCCUAAAUGGUAACGGAGGCGUACAAAGGUUUCCUCUGAACGGGUAGAAAUCGUAUCUAGAGUGUAAAGGCAUAAGGAAGCUUGACUGUGAGACCUACAAGUCGAGCAGGACGAAAGUCGGUCUUAGUGAUCUGACGGUACUGAGUGGAAAGGCCGUCACUCAACGGAUAAAAGUUACUCUAGGAUAACAGGCUGAUCUCCCCCAAGAGUUCACAUCGACGGGGAGGUUUGGCACCUCGAUGUCGGCUCAUCGCAUCCUGGGGCGGUAGUACGUCCCAAGGGUUGGGCUGUUCGCCCAUGAAAGCGGUACGCGAGCUGGGUUCAGAACGUCGUGAGACAGUUCGGUCCAUAUCCGGUGUAGGCGUUAGAAUAUUGAGAGGAGCCUUCUUUAGUACGAGAGGACCGAGAAGGACAUACCUCUGGUGUACCAGUUAUCGUGCCAACGGUAAACGCUGGGUAGCUAUGUAUGGAGUGGAUAACCGCUGAAAGCAUCUAAGUGGGAAGCCCACCUCAAGAUAAGUAUUCU
rnacentral:rRNA from 1 species